AAUUUUAUUAGCUCAAAGUCAUUGUCAGUCAUGGAAAAAAAAUACCAAAUGUGUAUAGAACUUAGGCCUAUAUAUAGAGUAUUUGUGAUCGUAAUAACUUUAAGAUUAGGAACACUAAAUCCAUAGUCCUCUUAGCAUAAGCUUAAUUUUAAAUGUAAGGUGAGUUUCUAUGCAGGCUUCCACCAUGAUAUGUAGAAGGUUGG
rnacentral:misc_RNA from 1 species